ACGGACCGGCUCUACAACUUCAGCGGCACCAACAUGCCGGACCCGACCCUGGACUCGGCUUACCGAGCGUUCCUAUCGCAGAGGUGCCCGAGGAAUGGCAACGGUUCGGUCUUGAACGACCUCGACCCGACGACACCGGACACCUUCGACAACAACUACUACACCAACAUCGAGGUGAACCGGGGUAUCCUCAACUCCGACCAGGAGCUCAAGUCGUCGCCCCAGGCGCAGGGCACCACGGCACCCAUCGUCGACCAGUUUGCGAGCAGCCAGGACGCCUUCUUUGCGAGCUUUGCACAGUCCAUGAUCAACAUGGGGAACAUUAGGCCCCUGACGGACCCAUCCGUAGGUGAGGUCCGUACCAACUGCAGAAGAGUCAAUGGAAGAUAAUCAUGGAGGAGAGGAGAAACUAUAUAAUGUGUUUAUGAGUAUGUAACUGAAAAAUAAGGGCUUUCAGCUCCGAUCCCUCAAGUGUGCAGUUUAUAUGUGUAUAUUUCUGAUUUUACCAUCUUUAUAGUUUGUCAACCAAUUGUAAUGUGCUCCAAAUUCAUCCGUCUCCAAAUUAAAGCAGGUCAUGCAUGUGUCGUUGAAAUAAACCAGAAACCCUUGCAAAAUGAUGAUCCCAGUGAUCGGUCAUAUCGUCAGUUGGUGAAACAGUUUAGAUUUAAGCAUCUCUGGUGCUGUGUCUGACUAUCUGCUUGCAUGCGUCGGAUCCAUUUAGUGCAGACCAAACAAACUGUUUCACUUAUGUGAUGAUAAGCUGGGGAUACUUUGGAUGCUUCCUUUGUCUGGUCCCUCAAGAAUAAUGCACAAAUGUCAAGGAAAAUCCAAAUUCUGGUAGCGAUUGUUUGCUACUCGUCACUAGCAGAGAAUUCACCUUCCAUGCAGCCCAUUUUAUCCCGGUUUAAAGUUAGUCUCGGACAAAAGAUUCACCAACCGGGACUAAAGCUCGAUCACUGGUGGGGGGCUCACCAACCGGGACCUUUUAUCCCGGUUGCAAAGGCUAGUGGAAAAAAAAGACCCUGAGAGUCCCCACGAGUUAAUACAAAACGAUUGCAUCCCAUAUAUAGUCAAAUGUGUUGUGUAGGUGGGAUGGCAAGGAAGCUACACGCGAGGUUGGAGGUUGUGGGUUCGAAUCCCACGCAGCGCGCACGCGCAUAUUUUGCGUGAAAAAUCGUGUGAAAAAAUCGUGUGACUUGCGAUGUGCGCGUGUGGGGGGUCCUCCCGGGAUUUUUUUUUCGGAAGAUUUGCAUUCUACCAACUGGGACUAAAGGCCAAUUCUCUACCAGUGCGUGUUGUAAUCAUGUGCCUUUUCAUUUAAGCAUUGUAUUACUCGCCGCUUUAGCAUUAUUCUAAAUCAAACAUCUCUAUAUUUGACAAGCUUAUAAAAAUAUAUAACUUUUUACCGUACUAAAUAAAUAAAUACACUAUCAAUAUAUAUUUCACAGUGGAUUUAAUGAAACUAUCAAUAAUUUGCUGUAAUUUUGUCAAAAUUAGAUAAGUUUAAUAUAAAACAAAACUAAUGUGACUAGUAAUUUGGAACGGAGGGUGUACAUGCACGUCGGCAUAUAAAAACGGUAUUGUAUACGCAGGUGAUAAGUCAGACAGUACGGUGCUGUAUAGUUACAGUACUGUGGUGCACAUGUUUUCAUUAUUACAGCUAGCUAGGUUCUUAUUCGCUAGUUUAGCUGCAACAGCUAGUAGUAAGUUAUCAGUCGCUUUCUGUCCUAUAUACCCAAAUCCAUGGAUAAAGGCUGAUCGUUCCUAUAUGCUUGGACAAUAUUUGGCAUCGCUUUGUAGUAUGAUGUUUGCCAUUUGAUUUGGGAAGCACACGUAGAUGCGCGUGCUUAUGUUUCAACAUGUACGUAACGUAACCUGUUAGGGAUUAGUGCUUCAAUUAAUAAAUCAUUGUCUGCAUAGAAAAUAUUAGAGAGAAUUCCCUAUUUGACACUAGAAAAACUAUGUGUUCCAUUCCUUUCUUGCCUCUCAAAAUAUUUUCAUUCCCUAUUUGAUACCAAGUUCAACUUUCGUUCCUUAUAUAACACUAUAUUGAAUUUUCUAUUCGAGAACCGUUAAAUGCCCUGUGGGUCACACCACCGUUCUCCCUCCUCUCCUCCCCUUCUCCCUCCUCUCCGCGGCAACCACGCUAGGACAGCCUUGACGUCACCCUUGACGCUCCUCAUGAUGUCCUCGGCCAGCGCCUCGGACAUGGCCUUGCUGCACCGCACCCAUGCCAUGUCGUGCCGGGCGCCGAGCGUCACCUUGGCCUCGUUGGUGUUCAGGAGGUUCAGGAGCGGGCGCGUCAGUACAGCCACUCGCGCGUGUAGUUCCUCUCCCACCAAGCACCCAUCCAACUGCCUGGAAGCUACCGCCGCCCUUCUUCUGCUGCCACUUUGUGGCGGAUCCACUUCGAAUUAGCUUGAUUAAACCGGGUUAAGCCGCCUAACAUGCGACACCCAUGAUUAAGCCAAGAAAAUCACGAAGUGCCGUCGGAUUUCAUCCGAUUUAACCACUUGAACAGGAUCGAGUUUAGCAAACCCACACGAAGGUGAGUGGUUCCAGAGAAUACAUCGAGUCCACUGAGUUAGACAAAUUUACCCAUUUCGUUUGACCAUAAAAAUCCAACAUCAGAGUUUUACAAGGUUCAAAAGAAACAACAGAGAUAAACACUAGCGGAAGACUUCGUCGGGGUCGGAGGUUCUGGUGAGGCCAGUCAGAACAUCACUGAUUCCUCUCCUCGCCGUCCGAGGAGGGACCCCACUCGACCGUCCAGCCCGGCGGGAGCUGGGGCGGCCAAGCGCCAGCAAGAGAGGGGUCGGGAGCAGCAAUUUCACCUGAAAAACAGGAGCCACAACAAGGCUGAGCUACUAAGCUCAACAAGACUUAACCGAUAGGAGUAAAACUCCUCCUUCUAGACAUGCAGGACCUUUUGGCUGAGGGGUUUGUUUGCCAAAAGCACUAAGUAAAACCUUAUUUUCAAGUUUUAGCUCCGGUUCUAAGUUCGAUUACCAGUCUAGGUUGUGCAACCUAUUCUAAGCAAUCAUAGAGCCAAACAAGAUGUGUAGAUAUAUCAACAAACAUGUCAUCAUCAGAUUCCUCAUUUACUCAAGGUGACAUAGCGAUCAAGCAAUCUCAAACUGUGAGAGGCAGACGAAUCGAUUCGAGUUCUUUAACCAUGCAUGGUGAACCUAGCCUCACGACAUCCGCGCACCAGGAGGUCGCUUCCUGUGUCGGCCUUCCCCAUCAAUCCCCUAACCCGUGUCGGGCCCAUUUCCUUUGGUGCAAGGUUCCACAGGCCCGGCCUCUGCCGUCCUGUGACCACGCUUGCCACCACGUGCGACAACCAGCAGGGGAAACUCCGUUCCAAGAACAAUGGGGCGACCGCUCACGUCUAGGUUCAAUCCGGUACUAGGCUUCCUCAUCCCAUACUAAGUAUGAGGCUAGUACUUUCAAACACUUAAUCAUGAACACCACCACUGUCGGGCCUUAGCAAGUUUUCAUAGACAGACGGGGCAACCAUCCGUCCACCAAAGAGUUACCAAACCCUGCCCCGUCCAUCGUCCUUAUAGUUAUAACAGGAGAGUAAACAUGCAACUCCUACAACUCGCGAGUGACAGGAAAUCACUCGACUUUUAUCGUUUCCUAGUUAAGAAAUGCAACUACUCGGUACAACAGCUAGUGCUCAGAUCAUGGGAAUAACUACAUCAUGCAUCUAGGGUUUCAAACAACUCCUAUACGUAAAUGCACAAGCAUGUUACAGAAGGCAUGCGCAAGUCUGGCAAAACAUAUAGGGUUUUUAUGCAACCGGGGCUUGCCUUCGAGCAAAGAGGAAGGAAACUGCUCGACUUCUGGGGCGACUUCGGCUUCAGCGGGCAGGAGCUCGGCUACACCUUCUUCUUCGGGCGUCGGGUGUAACUCGUAGAAGCAGUCGGCGAGGUGCAGCUCUAUACGAAUGCAAUGCAAGAGUUAGCAUAGACGGUUAUUUCAACAGCAACGCUGGCUCGCCUGAGCCCAGAAACUCGCGACAAAGAGCAGGAGGGUAGGGAGGUUCAAGAGAGCUGGUGAUGAUCAAGAGGCAAGGGUAGGAAAGGAAACUUAUGAUCUGAUCCUCGAACUAGAGGAUGUGAUACAUUAGGAAUCCUCAGACGCAGCGCUGAAGGGUUCCUAACUUUUACACAUACACCCUCGGGUUGAAGAAAAGAUCACAGCCGAACCCUCGGGCGAGGCGGAUAAGGGUCGGCGAAACAGACAGGGUCGGGCGAGACGGAACCGGGGUCGGGCGGAUAAGAGGGGUCGGGCGAGGCGGACUGGGGUCGGCAACUCACCUUCUUUCUGAAAGGAAAGCUUGGGGUCGGGAAGAAGCAGACUUGGACGGAGGGACUAAGGCUUGAACAAAGCUAAGACUGGGAAGCUACUGCGGCGGCGCUUCUUGCUAAUCACAAGAGAGCUUCUACGCAGAAAGGAGGAGCAAGCUACUGGGUGACUUGGAGAAAAACUAAGGAAGAAUCUGAGAGGAGAGUUCCUCAAGAACUUGGUGGUUGGCGCUAGGAGCUUGAGCAGGGAGCGAGAGAAUGGUUAAGGCAACAAUGGCGGAGGAAACUCCGGCGACGGGGGCAUUCCUUUUAUAGCUGCUGGAACUGAGAAGGAAGUGGCGCGGGAGAGAGAGAAGGGGAGCGGCGCGAAGGCCGGGGAGAAGCAAUGGAGUGCUCUGCCGGGGCGGCGAUUGAGCGAAGAGGGCGGUGGUGCAGGACUCCGGGGGUGACGCCAGCAGUCAUUGGGUUCUGCCAUCAGGGCGGCGUAGGAGCGGGUAGACUGGUGGUUGAGAUUUGGCGGAAAGCGGACGUCGCCGUGCGGAAGAUUUGAUAGAAGCGACCGGUUUAACGGCGCUAGAAUCGAGGGCGCACAGGUGAGAAGACAGGCAGCCGCGGGCGCGCGGGCGAGCGCGGAGCAACAGAUUAUCGGGCGGCUUCUGAUAGGGCGGGAAAGGAGCUGUCGCAGCCGCGGUCGGGGUUGGCGAUGGGGGAAUCGUCGUGUAGCGGAGACCAGGCGGCGUGACUGUGGUUGAAGGGACGGAAAAGACAGGCGACAUCGGGCUCUGGGGCCGGGAUCUGGCGGCGUGAUGAUGGGCGCGGGAGGCGAGGCUCUGCAGAAAGGGGUGCAGAGGGGCUUCCGCUGCCAUUGGGGAAGGGGGCGCGAGAAUCCACUCGGUCGCUUGCCAGAGACAAAACUGAGCGGCGGCGUCGGAGAAGACGAGCCACGCGGCAGGAAGACUCUGAAGUGGGCAUGCAACUCGAGGGCGCCUGUCGCGGAGGAUCUGGGUAAAAGAUCUCGCGGGUCCACCGGUGGAUAGAACGGACGUUUGAGGAAGCUUAGCAGGAUCCGACGGUGGGCUGGGCUCGCCAGGGUCGGGAGAGGAGCGAAGCGUGAAGGGGUCGGGUCUUCCGGGGUCGGAACCGGGCGGAAGGCUGAGCACUUGGCGCGGUAAAACAAGACAGAUGACUAUAGAUCAAGGGCUCCGAUUAAGAUUAACUCGGAAGAUUAGGGGUCGGUCGUCACAGCCUACCCCUCUUAAAAAGAAUCUCGUCCCGAGAUUCAGGGAUCAAGGGGGGUGUCCUGUCCUUACCUCCUUGAUGAGAUAGAAAACCUGAAAAGCGCUUGUUCAGAUACUCGUCCGUUUCCCAUGUUGCUUCAUCUUCAGUGUGGUUUCUCCAGAGGAUCUUGUACAUCUUUACCACUUGGCGUCGGGUGUGCCUUUCCUUCUGGUCAAGAACUCGAUCUGGGUACUCGACGUAGGUCAGGUCGGGCUCUACCUGAAGCUGUUCUUGCUCUAAGAUCUUUGCUGGAACUCGGACACAUUUCUUCAGUUGAGACACGUGGAAAACAUCGUGUAUGACCGAUAGCUGUUCUGGAAGUUGGAUCCGGUAAGCAAUGGGUCCACAUAUCUCCACAAUCUCAUAAGGGCCAACAUAACGGGGAGCUAACUUGCCUUUUACUCCAAACCGUUGUACUCCUUUGGUCGGGGAGACUCGAAGGUAUACAUGAUCACCAAGGUCGAACUGCAGGGGUCUUAUCCGCCGGUCGGAGUAACUCUUCUGUCGAGAUUGGGCAGCCUUGAGAUUAGCUUGAAUUACCUUUACUUGUUCUUCGGCUUCCACCACCAAGUCAGGGCCAUAGACUUGUCUUUCUCCUGGUUGGGACCAGUUCAAGGGUGUCCUGCAUCUCCGGCCAUACAGGGCUUCAAACGGUGCCAUCUUCAAACUGGCCUGGUAGCUGUUAUUGUAGGAGAAUUCUGCUAAGGGCAGACACUUGUCCCAAUUCUUGUCAUAGUGGAUAACACAAGCUCUUAACAUGUCUUCGAGAAUCUGGUUGACUCUCUCGGUUUGGCCAUCGGUUUGAGGAUGAUAGGUUGAGCUUCGGAUGAGCUUGGUGCCCAUGGAUGCUUGUAGUUGCUCCCAAAAGCGUGCCACAAACUGAACUCCUCGAUCAGAAAUGAUGGUCUUGGGUACACCGUGUAAGGAAACUAUGCGGUCGAGGUACAACUCUGCAUACUGCUUGACGGUGUAGGUGGUGCGAACAGGAAGGAAAUGUGCGGUCUUGGUCAAACGGUCCACUAUAACCCAGAUGGAAUCAUAUCGUUGUGAUGUAAGGGGCAAUCCCACUAUGAAAUCCAUGCUGAUGUCUUCCCAUUUCCAAGAGGGAAUAGGUAGCGGUUGCAGGGUUCCUGCUACCUUUAAAUGACUGGCUUUGACGCGUUGACAGGUGUCACAUUUUGAAACAUACCGAGCUACUUCCGGCUUCAUUCCACUCCACCAAAAGGUUUGACGGAGAUCAUGGUACAUCUUAUUGCUGCCAGGAUGGAUUGAGAACUUGGAGAGAUGAGCUUCAUCUAGGAUUUGCUUCUUCAGGUUGGGGUCGGCGGGUACAACUAUUCGGUUUCCGUAAUGCACACCUCCAGUUUUGUCCUACCGGAAUUGCUUAUAUCCCUCAUCCUUUACUGAGAUCUUACUGAUGAUCCGUCGUAUUUCGUUAUCUCUCACUUGUGCGGACCGGAUUUGGUCUUCCAAAACUGAGUCAAGGAUGAUGUGACCAAGGGUUCCUUGAGAAAUAAUCUCCAAACCGAGUUUUCCCAUCUCGUGACACAGAGUCUUGGUGAAGGCUGUUGACAACAAGCAGUUGCAAUGGUGCUUGCGAUUAAGGGCAUCGGCUACCACAUUGGCCUUGCCGGGAUGAUAGUGCACUUCCAAUUCAUAGUCCUUUAUCAACUCCAGCCAUCUUCUCUGGUGCAUGUUGAGGUUGGCUUGAGUGAAGAUGUACUUGAGGCUCUUGUGGUCGGUAUAGAUGUUGCAGUGGGUUCCCAUCAGGUAGUGUCUCCAUAUCUUCAAGGCAUGUACCACUGCUGCUAGCUCCAGGUCAUGGGUUGGGUAGCUCAACUCAUGAGGUCGUAACGCUCGUGAGGCAUAGGCAAUGACUCGACUGUCUUGCAUAAGAACACAUCCGAGUCCAGUGCCAGAGGCGUCACAGUAUACGUCAUACGGCCUAGAGGGGUCGGGCUGAGCCAAAACUGGGGCUGUGGUCAGCAAGUGCUUCAGGGUCCUGAAGGCUUCUUCACACUUGUUGUCCCCCACAAAUUUGACCUCUUUCUUCAACAACUCGGUCAUCGGCUUAGCUAUCUUAGAGAAAUCCGGUAUGAAACGCCGAUAGUAGCCGGCCAGUCCAAGGAAACUUCUGAUCUGGUGCACUGAGGCAGGAGACUUCCAUUCCAUGACUUCCCGCACCUUACUGGGGUCAACGGCGAUACCAUCCUUAGAGAUAGUGUGUCCCAAGAACUUGACACUAUCUAGCCAGAACUCACACUUGGAGAACUUGGCAUAUAGCUGGUGAUCUCUUAGCCGUUGGAGAACUAUAUGAAGAUGGUCGGCAUGUUCUUCUUCGCUCUUUGAGUACACUAGGAUGUCAUCAAUGAACACCACUACAAACUUGUCCAGCUCGGGCAUGAAUACCGAGUUCAUGAGGUACAUGAAAUAGGCGGGUGCAUUGGUGAGUCCAAAGGACAUGACUAGGUACUCGUACAGUCCAUAUCUGGUAGAGAAAGCUGUCUUGGGUAUGUCGCAGGGUUGAAUCUUUAUUUGGUGAUACCCAGAACAUAGAUCGAUCUUGGAGAACACUUUUGCUCCGGCUAACUGAUCAAACAAGACAUCAAUGCGUGGCAGGGGGUACUUGUUCUUGACGGUCACAGCAUUGAGGGGUCGGUAAUCCACACACAUACGUAGACUGCCAUCCUUCUUCUUCACAAACAGGGCAGGGCAACCCCAAGAUGAUGUACUCGGUCGGAUGAAGCCUUUUUCCAACAGAUCAUGCAACUGGGUCUUCAACUCAACUAACUCAGCGGGUGGCAUCCGAUAGGGUCUCUUAGAUAUUGGGGCGGUGCUAGGGAUCAACUCUAUGGAAAACUCCACUUCUCUAUCAGGUGGCAUACCGGGCAAGUCUUCUGGAAACACGUCAGGAUACUCAUAGAUAAUAGGGAGGUCUUUUAGGCGGGCUCCCGAUAGGGGGUAGGCACAAGGAAACGCAGACUCAGGAUGGGUCAAGGAUAUGGUAGAACUGCCAUGGGAGGGUGAACUGAUGCAGAGAGAUCGGGCUGAUGUAUCUAGAACCACAUGAUGUCGGGCCAUCCAAUCCAUACCAAGGAUGACAUCUAUGCCUUCUAGGUCAAGGAUGAUAAGGUUUUCCUUGAAGAGGGUGGGGCCUAGCUGGAGAGGUACAAGAAUAACAAUCUGAUCCAAUGUUAUCCUUCCUCCAGGAGUGGCGAUCACAUAAGGUUCCUUAGUGUGACCGACAUCCAACCCACAUCUUUCCCUAGUCUUACUCCCGAUAAAGCUAUGCGAGGCUCCCGAAUCAAACAACACAACAACAGCUUGAUUUAAAACAAGGAAAGUACCCGUCAUUACUGACGCACCUUCGGGGAGUUCGGUCAAGCUGGUGUAGUUGAGUCGGCCUUGUCGGACUUGCACCUUGGGCCUUCUUCCUCUGGCUGUCAUGGGGUUCUGACCUUGCUGUUGAUUCUUGUUCCUGGGGCAGUCCUUUGCAAAGUGCCCUUCAUUGCCGCAGGUAAAACAACGGUUACUGGCUGCCGGGCGGGGUGGUGUUGGCAGGGUCGGCCGGGGCACCUACGGUUGGAAGCCUGGAAAACAAGGCGCUGUUACUGGCGGGGGUCGGGCAAUCCACCUUCCUGACUGCUGGGGUCGGCCAGGGGCUUGCGGAGGAACCAUCCGGAACCUUCGAGUCGGUUGACUCGGAAAUGCCACACAGGAUUUCCUCUUCUGGUCGGCCUUGAGAGCUUGCAUGCAAUCCUUUUGCGAGAUGGCCAGAUUGACCAACUCAUUGUAGGUGUCCACCUUGAUGGGGUUCAACCUUUCCCUGAGCUCCAAGCUCAGUCCUCGGCGGAAUCUGUCCCGCUUCUUCUCGUCUGUGUCCGCAUGGUAGCCAGCAUAACGGCACAGGUCGUUGAAAGCUUGAGCGUAAUGCAGCACAUCUCGAGUUCCUUGUGUGAGGGCUAGAAACUCGUUGAGCUUGCGCUCCAAGAGACCUUCUGGAAUGUGAUGCGCCUUGAACGCCGUCUUGAACUCAUUCCAACUGACCACAUGGCCAGCCGGCAGCAUGGCAUGGUAGUGAUCCCACCAAAGCCGUGCGGAACCACGCAGCUGUUGGGCUGCAAACCGAGCCUUUAUGUUGUCGGGGCAUGGAGCGGUGAGAAGCUCAAACUUGGAUUCGAUCAUACGAACCCAGGCAUCAGCAUCGAGCGGUUCUUGUGUCUUUUGGAACAAAGGGGGCUGUGUCCCUAGAAAGUCCUCAUACCGAGCGAUAUGCGGCUGCUGUUGAGCUCUUCCACCAUGUGGUUGUUGCUGUUGCCCUUGUACCAGAUGCCUUAGCAGCUCAGUUUGAGGUGCUAGGAUUGCCUCCAGUGGCGAUGAGGGCGGGGGUGGGGGAAGGGAAGAUCCUGUCACUGAUCGCCACUGCCGGGCACAGAACCAGACCUGGUGCGGUGCGCCAUCUGCAAGAGUUAACGCCCCAUCAAUUUCAUAACCUUAGGUGUACUCUAAGAAAUGGAACGUAUAAUUUAAACUCUCCAAUGCAACUCUUGCCAAUGGUGCAACACACGUCCUCAUAGGGAAAACACACUUUUCUCGUUCUCCGGUUAGACAACAUCUAUCUUGACCUGGUACUCACUUCAGACAAAACAUGUCACAUACAGACUCUUAUGAUCCAACUCAAGCCAAGGGGUCGGGCUAGGCGAUCCUUCCGAGAGAACAAGGGGUCGGCAUCGAUCUAUACUUAAAAGGGUCGGACGAGGCGAAAACUGCCUCAAGGGUCGGCGCACUUUGUCUCACAAACUGGGGUCGGCCAACUGAUCAGGCUCCCCGAAAAACAGCAUAUGGUCAUGGCGCACUCACUUAGCCUAGCAUCCACACCAUACAAAGAUGAAAAAGCCAGGCACCAGAAUCAACUUUAUAUACAACGGUGUUCCAAUCAUAGGGAGUACUCAACUCUAGGCUAACCUAUUACAACCUUUCCAAAAUUAGGCUGCCGAGGAGUACAACAAAAGAAUAAUCCCCUGAGAACCCGCAAUCUACCAAUGGACACUAUGAGUAGGAGAAGGGGCGCCAUCUUCCUCAAUAUCCAUGCUGGACGCUCCUUCGUCUUCCUCAGGGUCCUUCUGAGCUUCGAGCUGCAUGUUGAGGGCAUGCAUAUCAUCGAGCUCAGCUUGAUGCUCCUCCAAAUGGGCAUUGGCAACUGCCAACUCCAUUUCCAUCUCCAUCUGCUCCUCCGAUAGCUCUAUCAUGCCGUCCACGAGGUCGGCGACUUCUCCCUCAAGCUCGGAGAUCCGGUCUUGCAUGUCGUGGAUCUGGAUACCCCGUUGAAUAAGCUGGUAGGUUUGGCCUACCAUAUCUCUUCGUGCCGCUUGGAGGUACCCGUGAACAUCUGCUGCUGUCCGAGCGAAGAGGGUCAUGGCUCUCCCUUGAAGCUCUAUCAACCGGUAGAGAGCUGCCAUGCACCUGAUAUUGGUGGAUAUGGUGACCAUGGCGCUUGUGGUGGCUAGCACCUCAAUGUUCCCGACGCGGUCAAGCCAUGCCGGGUCCAGCCGGUUCCUGACGGGGAAAAGGCCGAUCGGGUCGAGCGUGAUCUCCAAGGGAUGCAGCUGGCAGAACUGUGUGAGAAGCUGAAGGGCGGCAGACUCCCAUGUAUACUCAGGAGCGAGGCCAUAGGCUAUUAUGCCGAAAGAGGGCCAGUCCGGCCGUACAGGGGGAGGAGGUACCACCGCCUGUACUUGGCACGUCUGGAUACCCUGCUCCAGGUAUAACCGUCUGGCAUACAAAGGUGGGGACUGGUACCCAAACCACUUCAACGUAUCCCACAGAAUCGUAGGGAAUCCCUCGAAAUGCAGACACGUCGAUUGGAAAGUACCGUCCGCUCCAAAAAGAACAUGCCCGGGAACAGCCAUCUGGAACCAAGAAACCGAAACGACGUGCGAUAGACUCCAAGGAUCAGGGGUCGGAUAGAGAAGCAUACGGUUUUGACCAAGAGCAACCAAAAGAAACUAGAAAUCCUUAGAUCCAAAAGAACUCUUCCGAACAAGGUUGCUGUUGAGAAAGAACCGUACAACCUUUUUAGGUAUGACGCAUGCACGGCCUACCUUACACAUAACCAAAGCAACUGCCCGAACUCGGGUCUUACGCGGUCAGUGCCGGUGACAAGGCAACCAUUACGUCUCUCCCUAUAAUAGCUAGUCGGUUCUAACAAUGUCUCCUAAACGAACGCGGUUAGCGUACCUGCAGAGAAACACCACACACGAACCUUCCGUGCCAGCACCCACGGAAGCGCUCCCAAACAUUACCGCUCACUUAUAGGAACGGCACCCAUGCGUUUAAGGCUGCAUGGAUAGCACUCAACCAUGGAAAUAGGUUCCCCUUGAAUGGAACCAUAUAACCCUUCGCAUACUCGUGAUGCGGAAUCAGCACACGUAUGAUAAACGUGGCGAACCAACCGUGCCGAUAGGUUCGUUGGAAUCGAACCGUACCAACCUUCGUAUGGGAUACAUACGGAACCUGCGCACGUGUGAUAGACGUGGGCGAAAACAACCACGAGGAUAGGGUUCCUUGAAUAGAACUCCCUAUCAACCUUCGCAUGCUCGUGAUGCGGAACUCAGCACACGUAUGACAGACGUGGUGAAGUGCUGGAGGGUUAGCAGGAUAACCAAGUAAUUAUUAGUCACCUAAAACAACCCCAAAAUCCCCUAGGGCCUCUCGCACUAAAGCCAUCCUUAACGGUCGUACGAGAUUUUUCAAAAGUUUUCUUGCAACUUUUAUCUUUUCAAAGAAGUGUUUAGGGCUUGUUGUGUUCUCUGAAAUGCUAAACACGGCUCUGAUACCAGCUGUGGCGGAUCCACUUCGAAUUAGCUUGAUUAAACCGGGUUAAGCCGCCUAACAUGCGACACCCAUGCUUAAGCCAAGAAAAUCAUGAAGUGUCGUCGGAUUUCAUCCGAUUUAACCACUUGAACAGGAUCGAGUUUAGCAAACCCACACGAAGGUGAGUGGUUCCAGAGAAUACAUCGAGUCCACUGAGUUAGACAAAUUUACCCAUUUCGUUUGACCAUAAAAAUCCAACAUCAGAGUUUUACAAGGUUCAAAAGAAACAACAGAGAUAAACACUAGCGGAAGACUUCGUCGGGGUCGGAGGUUCUGGUGAGGCCAGUCAGAACAUCACUGAUUCCUCUCCUCGCCGUCCGAGGAGGGACCCCACUCGACCGUCCAGCCCGGCGGGAGCUGGGGCGGCCAAGCGCCAGCAAGAGAGGGGUCGGGAGCAGCAAUUUCACCUGAAAAACAGGAGCCACAACAAGGCUGAGCUACUAAGCUCAACAAGACUUAACCGAUAGGAGUAAAACUCCUCCUUCUAGACAUGCAGGACCUUUUGGCUGAGGGGUUUGUUUGCCAAAAGCACUAAGUAAAACCUUAUUUUCAAGUUUUAGCUCCGGUUCUAAGUUCGAUUACCAGUCUAGGUUGUGCAACCUAUUCUAAGCAAUCAUAGAGCCAAACAAGAUGUGUAGAUAUAUCAACAAACAUGUCAUCAUCAGAUUCCUCAUUUACUCAGGGUGACAUAGCGAUCAAGCAAUCUCAAACUGUGAGAGGCAGACGAAUCGAUUCGAGUUCUUUAACCAUGCAUGGUGAACCUAGCCUCACGACAUCCGCGCACCAGGAGGUCGCUUCCUGUGUCGGCCUUCCCCAUCAAUCCCCUAACCCGUGUCGGGCCCAUUUCCUUUGGUGCAAGGUUCCACAGGCCCGGCCUCUGCCGUCCUGUGACCACGCUUGCCACCACGUGCGACAACCAGCAGGGGAAACUCCGUUCCAAGAACAAUGGGGCGACCGCUCACGUCUAGGUUCAAUCCGGUACUAGGCUUCCUCAUCCCAUACUAAGUAUGAGGCUAGUACUUUCAAACACUUUAUCACGAACACCACCACUGUCGGGCCUUAGCAAGUUUUCAUAGACAGACGGGGCAACCAUCCGUCCACCAAAGAGUUACCAAACCCUGCCCCGUCCAUCGUCCUUAUAGUUAUAACAGGAGAGUAAACAUGCAACUCCUACAACUCGCGAGUGACAGGAAAUCACUCGACUUUUACCGUUUCCUAGUUAAGAAAUGCAACUACUCGGUACAACAGCUAGUGCUCAGAUCAUGGGAAUAACUACAUCAUGCAUCUAGGGUUUCAAACAACUCCUAUACGUAAAUGCACAAGCAUGUUACAGAAGGCAUGCGCAAGUCUGGCAAAACACAUAGGGUUUUUAUGCAACCGGGGCUUGCCUUCGAGCAAAGAGGAAGGAAACUGCUCGACUUCUGGGGCGACUUCGGCUUCAGCGGGCAGGAGCUCGGCUACACCUUCUUCUUCGGGCGCCGGGUGUAACUCGUAGAAGCAGUCGGCGAGGUGCAGCUCUACACGAAUGCAAUGCAAGAGUUAGCAUAGACGGUUAUUUCAACAGCAACGCUGGCUCGCCUGAGCCCAGAAACUCGCGACAAAGAGCAGGAGGGUAGGGAGGUUCAAGAGAGCUGGUGAUGAUCAAGAGGCAAGGGUAGGAAAGGAAACUUAUGAUCUGAUCCUCGAACUAGAGGAUGUGAUACAUUAGGAAUCCUCAGACGCAGCGCUGAAGGGUUCCUAACUUUUACACAUACACCCUCGGGUUGAAGAAAAGAUCACAGCCGAACCCUCGGGCGAGGCGGAUAAGGGUCGGCGGAACAGACAGGGUCGGGCGAGACGGAACCGGGGUCGGGCGGAUAAGAGGGGUCGGGCGAGGCGGACUGGGGUCGGCAACUCACCUUCUUCCUGAAAGGAAAGCUUGGGGUUGGGAAGAAGCAGACUUGGGCGGAGGGACUAAGGCUUGAACAAAGCUAAGACUGGGAAGCUACUGCGGCGGCGCUUCUUGCUGAUCACAAGAGAGCUUCUACGCAGCAAGGAGGAGCAAGCUGCUGGGUGACUUGGAGAAAAACUAAGGAAGAAUCUGAGAGGAGAGUUCCUCAAGAACUUGGUGGUUGGCGCUAGGAGCUUGAGCAGGGAGCGAGAGAAUGGUUACGGCAACAAUGGCGGAGGAAACUCCAGUGACGGGGGCAUUCCUUUUAUAGCUGCUGGAACUGAGAAGGAAGCGGCGCGGGAGAGAGAGAAGAGGAGCGGCGCGAAGGUCGGGGAGAAGCAAUGGAGUGCUCUGCCGGGGCGGCGAUUGAGCGAAGAGGGCGGUGGUGCAGGACUCCGGGGGUGACGCCAGCAGUCAUUGGGUUCUGCCGUCAGGGCGGCGUAGGAGCGGGUAGACUGGUGGUUGAGAUUUGGCGGAAAGCAGGUGUCGUCGUGCGGAAGAUUUGAUAGAAGCGACCGGUUUAACGGCGCUAGAAUCGAGGGCGCACAGGUGAGAAGACAGGCAGCCGCGGGCGCGCGGGCGAGCGCGGAGCAACAGAUUGUCGGGCGGCUUCUGACAGGGCGGGAAAGGAGCUGUCGCGGCCGCGAUCGGGGUUGGCGAUGGGGGAAUCGUCGUGUAGCGGAGACCAGGCGGCGCGACUGUGGUUGAAGGGACGGAAAAGACGGGCGACAUCGGGCUCUGGGGCCGGGAUCUGGCGGCGUGAUGAUGGGCGCGGGAGGCGAGGCUCUGCAGAAAGGGGUGCAGAGGGGCUUCCGCUGCCAUUGGGGAAGGGGGCGUGAGAAGACGAGCCACGCGACAGGAAGACUCUGAAGUGGGCAUGCAACUCGAGUGCGCCUGUCGCGGAGGAUCUAGGAAAAAGAUCUCGCGGGUCCACCGGUGGAUAGAACGGACGUUUGAGGAAGCUUAGCAGGAUCCGAUGGUGGGUUGGGCUCGCUUGGGUCGGGAGAGGAGCGAAGCGUGAAGGGGUCGGGUCUUCCGGGGUUGGAACCGGGCGGAAGGCUUAGCACUUGGCGCGGUAAAACAAGACAAAUGACUAUAGAUCAAGGGCUCCGAUUAAGAUUAACUCGGAAGUUUAGGGGUCGGUCGUCACACACUUCUUCUUGCUGGUGCCGCUGCUGUCGGUGCGGCCGCCGCUACUGUUGCUGCCACCACUGCCAGUCUGGACAAAACCAGAUGGCGGGCGACACCCGCCCGCACAGUUGGAGGAUGAAGACGACGAAGAGUUCCCGGUGAGGAGGACGGUGGAGUUGGAGAUCUUCUCCUCAUUGGUCAGGCGAAGUUCCUUCAGGACGAGCAUGUCCCAUGCCUGGGCGAAGGACAGGAAGCCGGCGGUGGAGUUGGCGAUGUCGUCGGUGAUGUUGGCGAGGUCGAGGACGGAGUUGUCAAUGGAGCCGAAGAGCCAGGAGCGGAUGCAGCAAUCCGCUUGAUCCUAGUCGGGGUCCUGGGGACGGGGUGCCACUGUGCCAUCGAUGUGCGACUUGAGGCUGAACUUGCCACACAUGUACUUGAAGAAGGAUGCCCAUCUGAAGUAGGCGUUGGACUUCAUCAUCAGCGUCACAGGGAUGUGAGACUUGAUGAAGACAGUGGUGUAGGGGUGGAUGGUGGGCGGCGGCGCCGGGUAGAUGAUGAAGCCACUGCUGCCAUUUUUGGGCACGUCGCUGGCAGGAGGAGCUUGGGGUGCACCGCAUGAGGAGCCGCCAGUGCUAGGUGGUGGCAUAGAUGCACCACCGUUGCUAGCUAGGGGUGGUCUAGGGGGCGGCACAGAAUUAGCAGCAGGAGCGGUGGUGUCGCCGGACACAGAGGAGUCGGCGGAGGACAUGGCGCACGACAGGGAGGGGGGUCGGACAGGGAGGUGCAAGUGGAGGGUGGGUGGCGGCAGCGUAGCAGGAGGGCGCUGCCUAGGUUUGCAUGGAUCAGGGGGAAAGGUGCAGGGAGAGGAGAGGAGGCCCAUGAUCUAAUCUCGUGAUACCAUGUAGAGAAGUAGAUGGAAAAACACUACACACCCUAAUGAGGGGGGUUGACCUCUAUAUAUAUAUGGUCAAUAUGGCUUGGAGUACAAGGAAUACAUCAAGUGUACAAGGAAAGGAUAAAUACAUCCUAAUCUAAACAUAUACUUCCUAAUACUCACAAGGCUCACCGUCCUGUUCUGCAUUGUGUCGAUGGUGGCCUUCUACUUGGCGUUGAUCAGCCCAGCAAAGUAGGCCUGGUCGGCGUGCAUGGUAACCUGUGCGAUGGGGUGUGUCAUGAUGUUGCUGAUGGCGAUGCCCUGCAGGUUCACUCUCCGGCCCACGGGGAGCUUGUUGUUCGAGUCGAGGAUGUGCUUGGUGACCACGGGGAUGUACUUGCCAGCGUAGCUCUCGCCGGCAAAGAAUAGCGGGCAUGCGCGGAAGCUCUGGUUGAGUGCCAUGAAUGACUGGUGAGCCACGAGGAGGUGCGCGGCGAUGGUGGGCUCGUCCCUGGGGAUGUCUAACUUGGAUGCUGGCGCGCUGAAGCCAGACCCGAGCGGGUUGUCAAUGAAGAUGACGAUGAAGUGGUGGUUCCAACGGUUCCGGUUGCGCGAGAGCCCUGUGGAGUUGAGGAGGAGGUAGGGGCCAAGCUCGGCGACGUUGUCAAUGACCGAGGAGCACCCGAGCCCGCCUUGUAACGAUACGAGCAGCAGUGUGGCGGUCGCUAGUGCGGUGACCUGGUUGGUGUCCAACUAACUCCCUCUCAGGCGCUCCCGUAACCACCGCGGGCCACCGUGCCUUCUCCACCGUGGGUGACGCGUCGAUUGCCGCUGCCGCCCCAUGUGCCGUCUGCCGGCGGCACUUCCGGUUGCGCAGGUUCCAUGGCCGGGCCGCUGGGGCCACGGCCUCCUGCUACUCAGGCCACGGCCUGGUCCCUGCUGACAUUAGUGGCGGCGAGACGGCAAAGGAGCACGUCGGCGGUGUACGGGGAUGAGCAUUGGGCAAGGAAUAGGUGGUAACGGAAGGUGAGGGAGAGGAGCGAGAGCGCGAGGAGGAAGACCAGUGGGAGAUGGCGGUGCUUUAUCUCCAUGGUCCACAUGGUCAUGCGCGCGGAGGCCACGGUAGCCGGGGCAACGGCAACGGCGGAAGCAAAGGCAGUCGAGGCCAAUCAACGCACGACUAGGUCGCCAUCGAACGUUGAGGUGGCGGCGGCGGCACGCAAUCGAGGUGGACCGAGGGAAGAGAGACGGUGGGGUGGGGUUGGCAUCUCCGUGUCGCAGCGGGGGAGGUGCGACGGAGAGGAGGGAGAAGAGAGGGAGAAGGGUGGUGGGCCCUACAAGGGCAGAAUUGUCUUUUCGCAGGGCAUUUAAUGGUUCUCGAACGGAAAAUCCAACAGAGUGUCGUAUAAGAAAUGAAAGUGGAACUCGGUGCCAAAUAGGGAACGGAAAUUUUUUGAGGGGCAAAAAAAAAGAAUGGGUAGUUUUUCAGUGUCAAAUAGGGGAUUAUCUCAAAAUAUUAAGCUCGACGACCAAAUGUGCUUUCAGAUGAAAUUGAGAGGAUGGAGUAAGAGUAUCUACUCCAAUACGCACAACAGACCUUAACACCCUCGCGCAUACAAAAGUUGGCUGCCACCUCCACCAUCCCGAUGUUCAUGGUGUCUUAUUAGCUACUCCCUCCGUUUUAAAUUGUAUGUCGUUUUGGCUUUUCUAGGUUCAAAGAUAUUAUUAUGUAUUUAGACGUGCACUAUAUUUUGAUGCAUAGUACACUUAUAAAAGUCAAAAAAACCUAUAAUUUGGAAUGGAGGUGGUAGCUAGGAUCAUCCAUGUCUUCCUCGUAUCUUCCUCUAGCACGGCAAUACCUACUUGCAUUAUGCCAAGAUGGUCGCUAGCUAUAAUGUCCGCUGCAGCCAUGAGCCAACCUCCCUAGUGUUGUGGGAAGCGACGCCACUGUUGCCGUCCUCUAUAUAUGCUUACGGAAGAGGCUGACCUGUUAAUCAUGUGUUAACCUGCUAAGGUUUUUUUAUCGUUGAAACGGUUAUGACUUUAUGUCUUUAUCCGGUCCGUGGCAGAUAGCGACUCGUAACCGGCCUCUGACCAAUAAUUAAUGUUGAAACAAAUCUUGAAAGGGAUAGAAAAUGCCAAUCUUCAAUCAGGCAUCAGCCAGCUAGAUGUGAUCAUUAGUUGCCGAGAUAUUAUAGGACGAAACUGAGCAAUGAUGGGCCAAGUAUAUGUACUCCCUCGAUCUCAGAUUAUUGUUCACUUUUACCUUUAUCCUAAGUAAAAUUUCUCUAACCUUAGCGUAAUUUAUAAAAGCAUCGACAUUUACAAGAUCUAACUAGUUUCAUGAAACACCUUAGAAUAUGUUUUUAAUGGUGCAUUUGUUUGAUACUGUAUAUAUUACUAUACUAUAAAAAGCGAGAGAAUCGAUGUCAAUUUUUAUCCACUGCUAUACCCACGUACUCCUCAUAGAGGGCCCGAUAGAAUCCAGCUGUAUUACAAAGGACGACGAAGGGGAGGGGGUGGGGGGAGUCAUUUUGUCGUUCUCUGCUGAAGGAAAUCGCUAAACCUCACAAUUUUUCACACUUCUUGUACCCGCCUGACCCACCUACUCAUUGCAUGCGGCUUUUCCGUGCAAUAUUCCCGCACCUCAACCAUCAAUCAUCACCAAUCACGGGCAAGCCUUUCCAUUAGGUGGUCUUCCAAAUCGCAUGCUUCGGCUUACCCGCCCGCCAAUCACACUUCUCUUUCCUUUGCUGCGCUGCCCUCUCCCUUCCCCUCCCCAUCCAUAAGCGUUGCCCUCUCCACUCCCCUCCCCGGCCAAUCCAGAGAUCCUACGGAAGUGAAGCGAGCAGGCCAGUGACGUCAAGGCGCAUAGAUCAGAGCCCCCCAUCCGUGUCCCUUCCACCAAGGCCAUGAGCGAAUGGCGGCAAAGGCAGCAAAUAGGCACUCGCUCCCGCCGCCACAGACUGAGGAGGCGUGUCAUGAGAGAUGCAUGACUGAAGAUGGAGUUGUGUGAGAAGGCGUUUUCGUUCUUUGUUUAUGGGUUUAUGUUUUAUGUUUUAAGCUUUAUGACAUGUGGGCCCUGCGUGGUGACUUCGGUGGCAUAUAUGCCAGAUGUGUACCGAUGAACAACGAUGAACUUGUUAUUGAAGUAAAAUAGAAAUCAGAGAGGGAAAUCCUUCCUUGUACGCCCCCAAAUUCCAUCUCUCUGUUAUUGCUCACGUCCUCGGCAUCUCGCUGGCAGCCAAGGAUGCUUACAGUGGUAUCAGAUUCCGGCGAUUCUCGGCGUGCAUUUGUUGUGCUGCUCGCGUAUUCUGUCGAUCUGAGCUGACAAUUGGGUAGGUCUUGGAGAUCGGAUUUUGUGCCGCGUAGAACCGGCCAUCAUUCUUGAUCGACUUGUCAAUAUUGCACUCCGUCUGUUCAAUUUGUGGGUGAGCUCACACGAUGUUGUCUGCUGGGCAGCGCAUCUCAUUGGAGUUCGGUGGCAUGUGGUGGCGGCGUGGUGCGGGGAUUCGGAGGUGUUGUCAUGGUGAGUCCGAUUACUCCAUCGACCUUGAAUUGGCAAACGGAUCGGUUGGUUUUGCUUGUUCUUCGUGGUACUCUACUGCUUAGGACAAGAUCCAUAAUUCCCAUCCAUGCUAGUUCAGUUUGUGGAGUGAUUCAUCACAGCACCACCGAAGCUAUCGGUGCAGAUGCAGCUCAUUCUAGGAGCGAUGGCGUCUGCAGUUGAGCACGAGGAUGAACAUUGGGAUAAAGUGACAGAGAGCAUUGAUCUAUUGUAUGCAAAGAUGGAAGUGAUGGAUCAACAGCAGCAACGUGUGGCAACACAAGUUGAUGUGGGAAACAAGGUGAUGGAACAAUUGUUAAAGGAUCAGCAGGUUUUGGCCAAGCAAUUGGAGGUUACAAGAACAGGCGGUUGCACAGUUGAACCUUGAUCGUUAGGAGACUAAAGGGGAUACUCAUCAGAAGCAACAGUUUCAUUCAAGCCAGGGUCCUUCUCUUUAGAAUCAUAUGCAGUAUGGUGCUUCUUCUUCCUAUCAGUCCCAGAGAGAUGAGAGAGACUUCCACACACACCACAAGUAUCAUACUCCUAAGAUGUCCUUUCCCAGGUUCAGCGGUGAGAAUCCUAUAAUAUGGAAGGAUAAGUGCCUCAAUUUACUUCCAGAUCUGCAACGUUCCUGAAGCAUUGUGGACUAUAACUAUAUCAUUGCAUAUGGAUGACCUAGCCUGCAAGUGGCUGCAGGUGUACAAACUGCAGAAUGGAUUAGGGGAUUGGAAUGAAUUCAUUAAUACUGUUGAGAGCCAGUUUGAUACUUAUGAUCACAGAGAUGCCAUCAAUGAAUUGAUCAACCUGAAGCAAACAUCCUCUCUAGAAGAGUAUAUUAUUGCUUUUCAGAAUCUACAGUAUCUCAUUGCAAUGCAUAAUGGUGGUCUUCAGGAAGUGUAUUUUGUGGCACAGUUUGUGUAGGGCCUUAAACCUGAAUUGAGAAUUGGAGUUCAAGCUCAAGUACUUGCUACCAUGAAGAAAGCUAUAUUACUGGCCAAAGUGCAGCAACAGUUACAGGACAGUGACAAGUUCAAGUCCAACAAGUUCAACAAUUGGUCCAGGAACAAUAGUCUAGCUCCAAAAGUUGAGCAGAAACAACCCCCUACAGCUACAUUAUGGAAAGAAAGGCAACUAAGGGAUUUUAGGAAAGCUAAUGGCUUAUGUAUUUACUGUGGUGAAGCUUAUAAUCCUAGUCAUGCAAAGGUGUGCAAGCACAGACCUCAACCUCAAGUAAAUACCUUGGUGAUCAAUGAUUUAGAUCAGCCCUUAACUGAAGAAGUACUUAAUCAGUUGGUAGUAGAGGAUGAAAUUAUAGAAGAGUUUGCAAACUUGUCUCUAAAUGCAAUUUCUGGUACUGCUAAAGCUAAUGUGUUGCAAAUCAGGGCCAUGGUUAAAAACAAAGUCAUGCUCAUAUUGUUAGACAGUGGUAGUUCUCACAGCUUUGUCAGUUCUUCUUUUCUAUCCAACAGCUCCAGCUAAGAAAGUCAAAGUUGCAAAUGGGCAGGUACUAAUUACGAAUAAAGUGGUGCCUAACAUGGAGUGGUGGUGCCAAGGAUACACUCUCAACACCGCUAUGCAAGUGCUAGAUCUAGGUGCUUAUGAUGCUAUAUUGGGGUAUGAUUGGUUGAAACCACAUAGUCCCAUGCUUUGUCAUUGGGAAAAUUAUACGGUUGAGUUCGCGGACAAUGACAGACCAAUCAAGUUGAAUAGCGUACAUCCAACUCCCUUCUCUCUACCUGAGGUAUCAAUAGAAAAACUCAUCAAGAUGCAUCAAGGGAAUGAUAUCUGGGCUCUAGCUGUGGUAAUUUUUGUGGAACCAACCCAGUCUCAACAGUCACCAGAAAUUUAGGCUCUCAUACAUGAUUUUGCUGAUGUGUUUGCCAAACUUUCAACAUUACCACCAGAAAGGGCUUAUGAUCACACUAUACCUCUAAUACCUGACAUAAUUCUAUUUAACUCCAAGCACUAUAGAUACUCUCCCUUACAUAAAGAUGAAAUUGAAAGACAAAUUCAGGAAUUGUUGUUUGCUGGUUUGAUUACUCCAAGCACAAGCCCUUUUGUUUCUCCUGUUCUUCUGGUGCACAAGAAAGAUGACAAUUGGUGAUUCUGUGUUGAUUAUAAAAAGUUGAAUUCUCUUAUAGUUAAGAACAGAUUCCCAUUACCUGUGAUUAAAGAAAUUUUGGAUGAAUUGGCUGGUUCAAAAUUCUUCACCAAGCUUGAUAUGACUGUGGGAUAUCAUCAGAUCUGAAUGAAUGCAGAAGAUGAGUAUAAGACCAACGUUGAAAACACAUCAAGGCCUUUAUCAAUUCAAGGUGAUGCCCUUUGGAGUUACUAAUGCCCCUGCUACUUUUCAAUGUGUCAUGAAUGACAUCUUACAACCAUUCUUGAGGAAAUUUGCACUAGUAUUUUUGGAUGAUAUAUUAAUCUAUUGUACAUCAUUGGAAACAUAUCUGGAGCACAUUAGAGCAGUUUUGCAACAACUAAGAAAGCAUCAAUUUUAUCUCAAGAUCAGUAAGUGUUCUUUUAAUUAGACUCAAGUUGACUAUUUGGGAUAGAUUAUUUCUCAAGAAGGUGUAGCAAUGGACCCCUCAAAAACAACUGCAAUGCUUAAUUUGCCUCAACCAACUACAGUAACAGAGUUGAGAGGAUUUUUGGACCUUACAGGCUAUUAUAGAAGAUUUGUCAACAAUCAUGGCAUUAUGGCUAAACCACUAACUCAAUUACUCAAGAAGAAAUAGUUUCACUGGGAUAAUAUUGCUACCAAGGCCUUCCAGGACCUUAAAAGCAUAAUGACUCAAACACCAGGCACUGAUUCUUCCAGAUUUCAACCUCCCAUUUGUAGUGGAAACAGAUGCUUCUACUACAGGAGUUUGGGCCGUACUAAUGCAACAAGAUAGACUAGUGGCUUAUCUUAGUAAAGCCUUGGGGCCUACUCUCCAACACCUCUCUAUUUAUGAAAAAGAGUUCUUGGCCUUGAUUAUGGCCAUUGAAAAGUGGAGAUCCUAUUUAUAGAGACAAGAAUUUAUUAUAAGAAUAGAUCACAAGAGUCUCUCUUAUUUGACUGAGCAGAAUUUGUAGUUGGAACUUCAAUGCAAAGCUAUGACUCGACUUAUGGGUCUCAACUUUAAGGUGGUCUAUCAUAAAGGCAAGAAAAAUGCUGCAGCAGAUGCCCUUUCUAGGGUUCCCCAUCUCAUGGCUAUUCAAGCUAUUUUUGAGGCCACACCAGUUUGGCUUCAAGAGGUACUCAACUGUUACCAUUCUAAUCCUGUUGCACAAGAUUUGCUACAGUCUCUUGCUAUUUAUUCACCUAAUGCUCAAAGCUAUUCACUGGAAAAUGGUUUGAUAAAGUACAAAAAACAUUAUGGUCGGGAGAUAACUCAGAUUUAAGAACAAAAGUAAUUGCAACACUUCAUGCUAGUCCUAUUGGAGGUCAUUCUGGGAUUCAGCCUACAUACCAUAAAGUGAAGCAUCAUUUUUACUAGAAAGGAUUGAGGCAAGAUGUUGAGAAUUUUGUUAAACAGUGUGAUAUAAGUCAACAUGCAAAACAUGAGCAUAUUCAUCCUGCUAGCAUACUUCAACCCUUACCCAUUCCCCAAGGUGCUUCGCAAGACCUAUCUCUAGAUUUUGUGGAAGGCUUGCCUAGUUCAAGAGGAUGUAAUGUGAUCCUAAAGGUGGUUGACAGAUUCACCAAGUAUGCACAUUUUAUGGCUCUUAAACAUCCUUUCACUUCUCUACAAGUGGCUAAGCUAUUACUUGACUCAGUGAUUAAGCUGCAUGGUAUACCCAAAUCUAUGGUGUGCGACAGAGACAAAGUCUUCCUCAGUAAUGUGUGGAAGGAUCUUUUUUCUCACUUGGGCACAAAACUAAUUCACAACACAGCUUAUCACCCUCAAACCGAUGGUCAAAUAGAGCGUGUGAAUCAAUGUCUGGAGAUGUACCUGCAAUGCUCAGUGCAACAAUCACCAACUUUCUGGAAAAAUUUGCUUCCAUUAGCAGAAUUAUGAUAUAACUCUUCUUUCCACUCUUCUCUUGGUUGUUCUCCCUUCAAAGCUUUGUAUGGCUAUAAACCCAAUCUAGGGGUGUUGACCGCAUCAUCAGUUGGUCCAAGCACUGACAAGACUGUGUUCGAUCUGAUACAAGAGCGUGAGGAACACACAGUCAUGCUCAAGGAGCGGUUGGCUGUUGCACAAAACAAAAUGAAGUUGUAGGCUGAUAAAUUGCGAACUGACAGAGUUUUUCAAGUGGGUGAUAGAGUGUUGUUGAAAUUACAACCGUAUGCUCAGUCAUCUGUUGUGAUUUGCCCAUAUCCAAAGCUGGCUUUCAAAUACUUUGGUCCUUAUCUGAUUCUAGAGCGUGUGGAAUCAAUAGCUUACAAACUGGAUUUGCCACAAGAUAGCAAAGUCCACAAUGUAUUUCAUGUCUCGUAAUUGAAACCUUUCACACUAGAUUACUCCCCUGUAUAUGCAGAUGUCUCAAAGGUGGCAGAUCUCAGUGCUAGUUCUAUUGAACCAGAAUGCAUUUUGGACCAAAGAUUGGUAAAGAAGGGCAAUUCAGCAAUUCCUCAAGUGCUUGUCAAAUGGACUAAAUUCCCAGCUACUUCUGCUACAUGGGAAGAUUGGAACGUCAUCCAAAAGCAGUUUCGUUCUUUAGCGUUUAGGGGGGGGGGGAAGUUAUCAUGAGAGAUGCAUGACUGAAGACGGAGUUGUGUAAGAAGGUGUUUUCGUUCUUCGUUUACGGGUUUAUAUUUUACGUUUUAAGCUUUAUGACAUGUGGGCCCUGCAUGGUGACUUCGGUGGCAUAUAGGCUAGCCGUGUACUGAUGAACAACGAUAAACUUGUGAUUGAAGUAAACUCGAAAUAGGAGAGGGAAAUCCUUCCUCAUCCGCCCCCAAAUUCCAUCUCUCUAUGAUUGCUCACGUCCUCGGCAUGUCACUGGCGACCAAGGGUGCUUACAAGGUGGGGGCUCCCACGGCGCCCGAGAAGUGUGCCCGCCGAUGGACGACGAUGAGGAGCAGAGUGAAGUCAAAGCGACUAUGCGCACGGGAGCACAUCACGGUGCUCGAGAGCGUGCCCCACGUGGCAAUGGCACCGAAGGUCGCGAGCAUGGAGGAUGAUCGAGGUGGAUUCUUUGGGAAACAAGGUGAGGAUCGUGAUCUUGUCGCCCCCCAUUCCCUCGUAUUGCAGCGAGGCCAGCCAAGAGCGGUAGGGUAGGGAGGCCUUCGCCUCGAGGAAGCGGGGCAAUGAGGUGUGUAUUGAUCGAGGAGGCCAUGGCGGGCCUACCGAAGCCCGAGGAUGGCCACGUCAAGUACCUGGUGGACACAUUCGAGCAGCUUCUCUUGUUGGCCUGCGGCGAUGGGCGCAAGGGACGUGGGAGGGGUGCCAAGUGCAAGAACAAGUUGACAGCAACAAUAGCGUCGGCGCCAGCAGCGCCGUUGAGCGCCAUGGAGAUCGACAUGUCAUACCGCUCCAUCGCUUCGUUGUCCGAGGUCUCCUUCCCCACCAUCGCUGGCAUCGCCUGCAUCGUCAAGGCCACUGACUGCACCAGGUUCUGAUCCAUUGCUACAUUUGCGUCGUCGUUGCUUUGCUUUAUUGUUGUUCUUGGCUCUCCGCGCAUGAGGCCAACACCGACAAAGGACAUACAAUGUACGUAUGCUGCAUGCUCACAAUCUCACUUUUUGUUGAGAUCAAGAUGAAUUUUUAGUGAAAUUUGUGUAGAUAUUGUUCAUCACACAUUGCAGAGCAUCGGCUCACCGGAGACGGGCUAGAGUAGGAAGGUGACAUGGGUGACGAGCUAGCAUCCGUUGAACCUUGGGACUGAGGUACGAGGGAUGUAAUGCUCGUCAUGUUUUGCUCAUCUACAGUGCUUGCUCUACAUUUUUUUGGGAAGCACUAUUGCUUGCUUAGCUGGUCAUGUUCUGCAUGACAAUUAUUGUGACUAACUGAAGAAACUUUGAUUCUAUUCUUGUACUCAGCAAAGGGGAAAGGUGAAGGAAGAGAAUUUUGUUCAGAAAUUGAGGAAGAUACAUUUGGAGGAGGAAAGGCUGCACAACGCGUUGGCUCAAGGUUUACCCUAUACCAUUGAUGAACCAGAGGUAUGGCAGCGACGCCUAUAAUAAUUUCAGUUCAGUGUUCACUUUUACAUUGCACGAAUUGCAGGGAGCAAGUGUACUUAAAUGAUUGGCCUGAGAUCUCACAUUUUUGCUCAAGCAUGCAUUUGUGCUAGGGUAAAGAAUGUACAGUUCAUGAACUGGUUUUUUCAGGUGAUAUAAUUUCUCUAGUUCAUUACCUAGGAGAGACAAUUGUAUUUGUUUUAAUUCUUGUUACGUAAAGCAUAGAAGAUGAUUAUAACCAUAAUAGAUAGAUCUAUUGAUUAGUUUCAAGCAGCUUUGCAAAUCAUGUUUAAUAGUACCAUGAGCUGAUCAGUGUAUUGAUUAUUUCUUUAGAACUCGGUAUUUUGGAUUUAGUUUACCUUGAACAUGUGAAUGUAGACGUUGUACACAGAUUAUGUGGAAGCCACUUGAGGAUUCCAGCUAUCAUAUUCUUUGGGCACCAGUUUGGGUAUAAGCAUAUCCUUUUCUCACUUGGAGAAUAUCUCAUUUGAUCAUAUCAUUCUGUAGCUUAACGUCAUUGGUUUCAAUAUAGUAGCUGGGUCUCGGUUAGUCGGUUUUUAGGCUGAUUAAUGUUUUGUUGACAUUAUUGCAGUUGGCACUUGGCACUCUUUCAGUCCAUCUCUAGAACAUUCAUGCUCAUGUCGGGACUUCUGAGGACACUAAUUUAGAUUCUAUGAUUUUUCAUGCUUUUAUUCUAUAUUGUCACAUGUGCACAGGUGACAAAAUUAUAGCGAUGCAUGCCUCUUCUAAUACUAAGAUUACUGUCAAAUUUAGUAGCUCGGCAGUCAAUCAGGGGUUACCCAAGUGGUUGAUUUGUAGGUGGAGGCGAUUGUGAAACCAAGAACUCGAAGGUGAUUGCGAGAACAUAAGGGACACAAGGGUUUUAGAUAGGUUCGGGUCUCCGGAAAGUAAUACCCUACAUCCUGUAUGUUGGUGGAUUGUAUUGCUCGUGAGCUUCGAUGGGAUAGUUUUUUUGGGAUGCCCUCAGGAGGCACCCUUGCCCGCCUUAUAUAGGCUGACGACCAAGGAUUACAAGUCGGUUUGAAUCUAAUCUACUCGAUUGUUACAUGGAAGGUAAUCUGACUCGGACUACAAAAUGCGUUCGACGUUAUCCUAUCAGAUUUGGACUGUCUUAUUGUGUUGACGUGUACUCCAAGUAACUUCAUGUCCUCAGCCAACACGUCCUGGUCGAGUAGGCCCACUUGUCAGACCCGACCAAUAUCCUGGUCGGUAGGGACCUAUGGGGUACCAAUAUCUCUUAGAGACCCAAUAAUUGGCUAACUGCUAAAUGACCUUUGGCUCCCACAUUGGUGGUUCUUGUCAUGAAAAUGGAUAUGAAAUCUAUGAAACAACUCAAAGAAAUUACAAAAAAUUGUUUCCUUCUCAUUUGAUCAUUAUCGUAAGAUGUUCCUGAGAAGGUAAGGUUAGAUACUAAUAUCUAAGUUUAAUGAUUUCAAAUUUGCCAGCUGGCUGAUUGAUAAUGAUUCUUUUAUUUCCCCCCUUGUAUAUGUAUGAAAAAUAUAUUAUUACACGUGUUUGUUGUAGAAUUUAAGUACACAACUAAAUUAUCGUACCUCCAUUGGUUCCAAGAAUUUAGACAACUCUUUCUCGAGUAUCUUCCUCUAGCAAUAAUGCUUCCAAAUAUUGGAGCAGGGAACUAGAAAUUUUAGAAGAGAUUCAAAAGAAUUUUUUUUGAAUUCUUUCUUGCUGGUAGAUCCGUGUGGUCAAAAAAUGUUGGUAGUUCGUUUGGAACAUCUUUGAUAUAAUAGCUUUCAUGAAUAUGAACAUACAUGGAUCAGACCAUAAUAUUUGUUUAGCGGUGACAACAAAGUAGGGUGAUGUACUUGCUGUGUGCUUGAUCAAGUUUAUUUUUAUUAUAUCUUUUAAACCCAUGCGUGUCGCACGGGUAUCUCCUCUAGUAUUUGCAAAAAAUUGGUCAAAAGCUGAAGUGUAUUUGCACAUAUAUAUGUAUACAUGUGACAAAUUUAACGUGCGAACGAAAGAAUCAAGGAUAAAGAUGUCCGUGACAUGAUGAUAACAUUUUAAUAAACUAGAUUCAACAUUUUAAUAAACUAGAUUCAACAUUUUGAUAAACUUGUUCAAUAUUUUCUAAACAUUAAAUCAACAUCCAAAAAUAUAAGAUUCAACAAUUUCUAAAAUAUAGAUUAACAUUCAAUAUUUUUUGUUGCCUACUUCAACAUUUCCGCUCACUGAAUUCAACAAUUUUUCAAACAAAAUUCAACAUCUCAAAAAAUAACCUUCUUCUCCAACCCCGAUGGCCGCCGGCACCACAGGGCCGCGCGUGCGUGUGCGGUGGCUGCACCGCGGCCAACGGCGCGGGAGCCACGUGCACCGCGGCAGCAGCAUGGUCGGCACGCCUGCAGGAGGGGGCGGUGCGGCCAGUGAUGGACACGGCGGGGCGCACGGCGACCAGCGCACCUGCGGCCGGUGGCGGCGGUGAGUGGCAAGCUCGUGGGUGAGCCGGUGACGGCGGCGGUGGCUGCAGGCAUGAGGUGAGCUAGGUGAGAAGGUGGGUUGCAUCCAACGAAGGACAUUUGAUUGCAUGAAUCUUAAACAAUAAUGUAAGUUAGGUAGAAAUAAAACUUCCGGAAGCUGUAUCCAGAUGGCUAGGGGCGCAAAAUGUGAUGUCGACAUGUGGUGACCAUAGGCUCAAGUAAUGUGCUGCAACAAUUUUUUUAACAACUAAUAGUAACAAAGGACCACAACUAAUAGCAACAAACGACGACCACAACUAAUAGCAACCAUAAGUAUUAUGGGCCUUAAGUUAUUACAAGUCGUGGUAUGCAUUUUCCAUUAAAAGAGUUUAUGAUACACUAAUUGCAUAUUUUAGCAAGGUCAGACGUCGACAUUGUGGUUGGGUCUGCUCUUUGUCGAUAAAAUUAUUAUAUUGCAUGAGAAGUAGGUGGUGUAGAUUAUCAUAACUAUGUGUAGCCGCCGAGUAGUUCAUUCCUUCAAUAACAUGUUUUGAUCUAUAGAUCGCAAAGUUAAUUAACCUUGCUUAAGGGAACUUUCAUUUGACCAUCUGUAGCAAACUCUAUACCUAGUCGUGUCCUAGUGUUGUAUACUCGUGUCCCAACUUAGCACCACACGAAACAAAAGGACAAACCCAGUCCCAUGGUAUUAGUUAGGGGCGGAACUGUGUAGGAAUUAGAUAAGCGACCCACUUGUUUAUUUGGAUUCGAUAUAAAUCUUGGAUGAAUACUACAGAUUCGAGUUCUUAUUACGGUAAUUGCUUACAACUAUGCAUAAGUGCAACAUCACCAUAGGAGUAGAGUAGUUUAUAAGCUAGUCGUGUAUGGGUGCCUUAUAUUUAUUGCAUUACAUCUUAAUCAUUUUCAAAAAGGAAUUAUCUCCAGCCUCUGCGAUCAUACACAACCCAGUUCUUACAGCAAAUUCAGCUCCAAAACUUAUCACCAAAAUAGAAAUAAAACUUGGGAAAUCAUAAGCAUUGCAUCUUAAUACGCAUGUGAUUUUUUUUUGUCGUCAACAAAACUAAUAGACUAUGGUAUCAAAGAAAAAACGAAUGCUAUGGCUGACCGAAUUAGCUAAUCGUCACCGUACCCUGAUCCCAUUGCUCCUAGAAAUGCUUCACGCCUCCACCCACCCCUUUAAUUUAAGCAGGUUCCAAUAGUGGCCCAAGGGCCAAUAACACAGGCCAAUAUUCUGCAAGAUUUGACCCACCUAGAAGCAAGAGAAAUUUGGCCCAAUCUCAAUGUGCAGCCAAACCCCGAGUCCACCUUGUUUUUUUUUUAAAUUUAGUCUUCACUUUUUUAUUCGUAUGCUCUAUUUCUUUUAUAGUCCUAAUAGAAAGAAAAAUCAAUGGUUCAAUGUUAUAUCUUUUAUUUCCAUUCAUGCUAUUUAUUUUGCUGCAGGUACAAUUCAAUUGCUCCAAGAAUAUUUGAAAUGUUGUAUAUAUCAUAUAUGUAGCUGUAUUUAGAUUACUCCAACAGGAAACGUGCAUUGGUUAGUGUUAUAUUAUAAAUUGUUCCAUUUGUGGAACCAUAUAACAGCAUCUCAAUUAGUCUCUCCUUUCCUGAAAAAUCUCAAUAUUAGUAAAGGAAGUGCUCCAUCAAUUUUCCAAUACUUAUUGGAUCAUCCCAAUAUUUACGCUCACCCCUUCUCCUUCCCAAAUAAACGGGGAGUUCAUACUCCCAACGCAAUAUGGUAGUUGUCCAUGGCACCAUAUUGUUUUCCCUAACCCACCCUUCCCACGAUCACACUGCCGUGGCCUUCAUCGACAAGUCAUGCUCACCACUAGUUGGCAGAGCUUGCCCAUGCGACCGAUGUUGGCCUCCCCAGCCGCCCCCCACCCCCACAGUCGCUGGCCACCCAUCCAGAGCUGACACACUGGCCGGCUUGAGGAGCCAUGCCGGUUGCUGCAUAGAGGUGGAGCGCUGGGCGUUGGGCCCCGUAUGCCACUCCGGCCUGACUCCCCUAGUCCCCUAUAGCUUAGCCUAUCAUCUUUCUCUGCCUGAUCUUCUCCUCUACCGACCUUCCCAGUCACUAUGGCGUGAGCUUAUAUGUUGGCAAAACCCUUUAAUCUAUAAGAUCUCUGUACAUUGAUUGAACUGAGAAUUUUCCACUUAUGUGUAAAGACCAGAUUCACAUGUCCGGUUGAUCCACAAGUGGCACGUCAACUAUCUUGAUCACCAAUUAAUCCAUGCCAGUCUCUUCGAUUGUUCCAUCUCAUGGCCCUUCUAAAAGGAGAUAUUAAGUGGAGUGUAUAAUCUUUUGCCAGUCUCUAUGCCAUGUUUCUGAAAUUCCAGGUUAAACAAAUUUGGGUAUUGCUCACUGAAGCUAGUACGUAUUUGUCCUGCCAAAAUCUUACUUAUGAACUGAAGCUAGAUUAAUCCAGACCAGGAAUGAAAAUCACAUAAUUUUUUUCUCCGCUCGAGUAAUGAUUAAUAGAGAGGGAAAGAAAGGGCUGGCAAGUAGGUCCGGUUGUUGGAUGAGAUAUUGUGAUGAGUUUAUUAGAAAACUGAUGUACCACCUACCCCUAAUAAAUCUAAUGAACUUUUGGAGGUUGCCUAAUAACUGUUGUAGAAGUAUUUGGUGCAUAUUUCUCCGGUGCUUGGCUACAUACAUAUAAUUAACAUUGUGCUCGGAUAGGCAUCUCCCUCCAAGGUUCACACAUUCUUAUCCAUUUCUUACUAGUAAAAACAAAGGAUAUUGACAUGCUUUCAUUGUCCACACUUGCAGAGCGCAUGCAUACAUUUAACAUGUGGUUGCAGGGCGCCCCACUCGUUCGCACCAUCCGUAUGCAUCUCGACACUUACCAUCCUACCAUACANNNNNNNNNNNNNNNNNNNNNNNNNNNNNNNNNNNNNNNNNNNNNNNNNNNNNNNNNNNNNNNNNNNNNNNNNNNNNNNNNNNNNNNNNNNNNNNNNNNNGGACUGGGAGAAGCGCUCACCCGCGCCUCACCCUCACGCCGCUCCCCUCCCGCCGCCCCUUCCCUCCCGCCGGACGCCGCCUCCCCUCCCUCUCCUCCGGCGGGCGGCCCCCCUCCCCUCCCUCUCCUCCAAUGGGCGGCGCCCCUCCCCUCCCUCUCCGGCGGGCGGGGCAACUCCUCCGGCCCUUCCUCUCCCGGCCGGGCGGCGCCCCUUCCCCACCCUCUCCGGUGGGCGGCGCCCCCUCCCGGCCCCGAUCCCCACCGGUAGAUCUGGCGGCCGGGGCGGCCUCCUCCCUCCCUCGCUCCGCCGCCGGUCAGAUCCGGGCGGCUAGAGGGGAGGGGGCUCCGGAGGGGGCCAGAUCCGGGCGGUGGCCACGGAUCGAGGGGAGGGGGCCUUGCGGAGGCACGCCCCUGCCCCUCCCCUACCCCUAUCCGGCGGAUCCAGCGGCGCCGACCCUCCCCUCACCGGAUCCGGCGGCCGUGGGCCUCGGCGGCUGGAGCGCGUCAGCAGCGUUGACGAGGCAGGACAGUUCGUCCACUUCCACCACCGCCGGCGACAGGUUACAGGUACCCCUACUACUCCGAGCUGGGUUCGGUCGCCAACGGCGUCAUGAUGGUCGACGCGGACAACUUUUGGAAUGUCGUCGACAACUUCUGGGUGCUGGCGGUGGUGGCGACCGUGGCGGCCGGUGGUGGCGGAGCUGGCGGUGGUGGCGGCCGGUGGUGGCGGAGCUGGCGGUGGUGGUGGCGGCGGCGGCGUAACAGGAUUUUUUUUUUCAAAAAUUGGAUGCCAACUGUUUUCUGGCCACUCGGCAACGACUUUGCCGAGUGUGCAACACAAAACACUCGGCAAAUCCAGGUUUGCCGACUCGAAAUUUGCCGUGUGCCGUUUGCCGAGUGUUACACUCGGCAAAUGGUUCGCCGAGUGUAUUUUGCCCUUCGCCAAGUGCCCCUGUCACUCGGCAAUUUUCCUGUCUCCCGUAGUGACUCACCCAUCAACACCCAUCAACGUAGCCCGUCUGGUGUACCAGCUGACUGGGGAUGUAAGAGACGACAGACAAGGAUAGGGUCAUAUAUAAACCAAAACAUGCCUGCUAGCUUUGACGUGCCUGUAUUGCAAUUUGCGAAGGAGUUUAAUUUCUAUGUUCUAGCUAUACAGCAAAAGCAAAUGAAUUUCAUGUCACUUAGUUUGUCGAUACAGUUGGAAUUCACAUUGACCUUUAAUAUAUUGUUCGCUACUCCCACUAAACCCGAAUUCUUUUAUUAUGAUUAAGACAUAACUAACUCAGUAUCAAAUAUAAUAUUUUCACUAACAAUAUCUAUGGAAACUAUAUUAUUAUCACGAAUAGAACGACAGAUAUAUCAUGGAAAUACUGUUUUUCAUGAUGAAUAUAUUUACAACAAAUGUAUGUUGUCAAUCCAUAUCAGUUUUUGGCUGACUCAUGGUCCAACAUAAAAGUUUGGCUUAGGAUAUUCCUAAGGCGUUUUAUCUCUGGGAGAAGAAGUGGUUUAGUGGUGGAUAAGAGACGGUGAUGGCUGUUGACCUGUAAUCAUAGUUUCUGGUGACAAAUAACUAGAAGUUGCGACCACGAUCUUGCACGGGAAAGCCUGAAAUAACAUAAAAUGAGUAAUAAAUUUUAGUGAAGGAAGACUAAGUAGUUUUUAACUGGACACGCACAACUGAAUCACAUAGAUAAUGAUCAGACCUCAUGUAAGCAUGCUGACUUUACGACACACUAGUACAGUUUCAUGAGGAACAGAAUAUGAAUCAUUAUUGUUAGCUAGGUACAUUUUUACAGCACUCAACAUAUGAACCAUAUCUUCGGGCCAAACCGCAAAGCUAGAGGGGGUAAGUUUGACAAGUUAUGACCAGCAAUCAGCAUCCAUGAUUGGUUGGAAACAACAAUAGGAGCAUAGUCCUCGAACAAUAUGUACUUAAUUUUGACGGAUAGAUAUCACAAUCCUAUGCAAUUGUGUCGCUUUUGCAUCUUAGUUCUAUUUCUUAUGUUGAUUUAUAUAUGUGCAUACGUGGAAGACAAUUAUGAAACAGAUGUGUCCAACACGUGAUAUUUGCAUCAUCCCACAUGGCCUUGAUCUACAAGAGAAAUAUCCCAAGUCCGUGCUCCAAAGCCUUAGUGCACCAUGAAAAAUAGUUAAAAAAAUAAUUAAAAAACCAUUAGGUUACAUAUGUUGAUGGAGGACGGUCCCGAAGUGGGAUCCGUCACAACAGCUAGGGAGUUUCACUCUGAUGGGGCCAAAUCCCCCUUCAGACGAAGCCAAUCGAGUAAGUGACUAGAAACGCUAAACAAUAAAGAACAAUAAAUGCAGAUAGUCGUCAUUAACUUCGGACUAGCCAGACCAGCCAUCCCAUUAGUUACAGUGGCUCCGCUAUUUAUAGGGAGAUCAACCGCAACAAAGCACAAUUACAAUUUACCGUUACCCAACGAUUAUAUUCCAAGAAUAUUCCAGGGUACAACGGGAAAUACGGCCUUCAUACGGACUCCACCAGCUUGCUCCUCGUACUGCUCCUUCGCUCCACGUGGUGGAUAGCAUGGUCUUUCAAUGCACGCUUGGCUUUGGGGUCGAACCACUUGUUCAUUGGGCCACUCCAUUCUUCCCUCCGAGGGCGAGUUACGGCGAACAUGAGUCAGACGCCGCAGUUCAUUGCUUAGUUCCGAAGGGAUCUUCGUACGCCUAAGGACCCUUCAUCACCAUCUUCUUUUUCUCCCUGCAUUCCGAUUCUGCCAUAAAACAAACAAGCUGUUAUGGUUAAUGUCAAAAGAACUUCUUCCUCCGAAGGGGUUCUGAAGGUGUGGUUUCCCCAACAACACUGAGGGAAAAAAGAAACAUUCUGAUGUCUAAUAUUGAAAUUUCCCCUCUUUACACAAAUUGCUUUAAUUUGACUUAAACAUUUUUGAAAUGCUUUUAUGCUAUCAAACUCUUAUUUACAAAAAAUACACUGAAUAAUUUCAAUAUUAUCCCCAUGAUAUUCUAAGGCCAGGACUUAGGACCAUGGAAAAAUAUGGUCGUUUACAGUACAUGCAUAGUGCCAUGAAUAUUGGAUAACUCCUUUUCAUCAGUAGAUCACAUUGGUAAUUGCCAAAAAAAACCUAAUGUUUCUAGUGUAAAUUAACAAAGUGAAUAGAAAGGGAGGUCCCUACUGAUUAUAUUAAAAAUAACAAGAAUUCAUAAAGAAGAAAAAUAAAUGAAAAAGAUCACUAUUUUUUUUAUUCAUAGAAUGAAAAGUUUAAAAUAUAUACUCUAGUUCACUGCAGAAUUUUAAGAGAUACAUGCAUGGUACUCUCACUAGCUAUAAAUUCAUUGAAUGAUAAUAAUGUAAGAAGGUUGAAGCAUUCUCCUCCCGCAGCUUUCAAUUAAAUUAUUGAAAUUUAGACAUUUUCAUUAUAACAUUGAAGACGAUGGUCAUCGACCAACAAUAUUCGAAAGGAGUAUGGAAGAUUUGUUUUGACCACUCAAGGCCUGGCUAGAUUUUUUCGGUUGAAGCAUUCUCCUCCACAGCUUUCAAUUAAAUUAUUGAAAUUUAGACAUUUUGAUUAUAAAAUUGAAGAUGCUGGUCAUCGACCAACAAUUUUCGAAAGGAGUAUGGAAGAUUUGUUUUGACCACUCAAGGCCUGGCUAGAUUUUAUCCUAUCUAUUUAUCGUUGUGCCAUGUAUACUUCGAUUGAUCAACAUAUCAUGAGUAUGGAGAUGAAUGCAUGCUAGUAGCUGACGUGAUGCAAGUUAUAUCUUGGAAAUAUAUCACGAUGUUAAAUUUCUUGUGGUGUACGUAGACACUGCCCAAUGCUAUGAGAUCACACAGCAUUUGUUUUGUUGAAAAUAAGUCUACUAGAUAUUACACAUCAGAUGAACUUGCCCCACAAAAAGAAAGUGAACUAGCUAGUUUCAUAAGUCGCACUGCCUAAUAAUUAAGAACCCUACCUACUUGUUUUGCGCACGUCCAUGUGCAGCUAGCUGGUACACACAAGCAAUGCAGUAGUCAUACUAACAGCGAGCAAAGCCGACAGUUCUUGACGAUCAUGCAUACUACUUGAUUGUCUAUCUGUUUGUCUAUCUCUAUCAAUGCUAGCUGAUAUGUGUUAAGGUCAGUUGUGAAUAGAGAUGGUGAUCGAAUGAUCUUGACACCAAUGAAUUCGUGCUAUACAGGAAUAGCUUGUGCAUUAUUUCAUUUUUCAUAAUGUACAACAAAACACAUAUAUGCAUUGGUAUUAGGUAUCACCACCUGAGCAACUAUGGUGAAAACACCUCACAUUUUUUAAAAGCCACGAAAGUUUAUCCCAAAAACAUACUUUUAAGUUUAAAAAAUUAAGACUUGCCACUUCAAUAGUUCAUCUUAUAUAUUAUAUACUUUGUGCAAAAGUUGGGAGUAAAACUUUCUCUAGUUUAAUUAAUAAAAACUGAAACAUUUUGUGCAAAAGUUGGGAGUAAAAUUUUCUCUAGUUUAAUUAAUAAAAACUGAAACAUUUUGGAUGAAUAUGCAAGUAGAUAACAAUUUUUUUUCUCUAACUAUAUUCACCCAAAGUAUAUCUUGUUUAAAAUUAAACUAUAAUGAGUUUAAAUAUGAAUUUCUGUGGCAAAACUAUAUUAAGACAUGGGAUGUGGAAGUACCAACUACAAAUUUAUAUUUAUUUUGAAAAGUUCAAAGUACAUUUUUUUGAUGAAUUUUAGUUUCAUUAUUUUUAAAAUGGUGAGAUGUUUUCACCAGCUGAUUCACGGCGAAUGACAUGUGUAGAGGUACAUGGCACUAUUUCUUGUACUGCGCUCCAGUGUAUGCAAGACAAAUAUAUGGUGGGUAUACUCACGGUGUCAGUUUAUAAGAGCUUGGGGGGAACCAACAAGGCAACAAGCUUGAAAAAUCUUUACCCUCAAUCAACAUCCAUGAUUGAUCGAUCAUUUGGUCAAGCAUUUUGAGAAUAUAGUUGAAGCGCAUGUAUUUUUUUACACCAUAGCAUGCAAAAGGCAGCUUAGGACUUCCCCCUUCUUUUUUUGUUGGGACUCAACGCAAUUUGAGAUUGACGUGUUCAUUCCACCGAUGCUGACUUGUUAACUAACAACCUCAUCAAUCAUUCCAGCUACAGUACGUACUUCCUAGCUCCGUUCCAAAUUAUAAGUCAUGCUAACUUUCUUAGAGAGUCAAAACAUCUCAAGUUUGACCAUUCAUGAUACGUAAUAAGUACCAUUAGUUUCUUCAUUAAAUAUAUUUUCAUAGUAUAUCUAUUCGGUGCCAUAAACUUUUAUGGUCCUUCGUAUAAUUUUGAUUAAAUAUAAAAUGGUUUGACUUUUUAAAAAUAUUGGAAUAAUUUAUAAUUUGGACCGGGAAAGCAGUUAUCAGGCUAUAAAUCUGGGGCGCGUGUACUGCCACAGCAUGCUCGUGUCUAAGUUGAUAUUUUGACAUUGCAUGACAUAGGUGCCUAGAGAUGGCUUCCUCCCAUUCUCCUCGUUCUGCCUCCGGCGCCACCGCCGUCAUGGCCGUGCUGUUUGUGGCGGCCCUGUGCCUGCACGGCGCCAUGGCGCAACCGCUGCGCGAGGACUACUACGACGGCACGUGCCCUGACGCCUAUAACAUCGUGAAGCAGGUGCUCAUCGACGCGCACGAGUCGGACGAGCGCAUCUACGCCAGCCUCAUCCGCCUCCACUUCCACGAUUGCUUCGUCCAAGUAACCUUCCUCUUCUCUCUGCUAGGCCGCCAUGCCCGUGCCCGUGCCCAUGCGUGAUCAUGCAGCAUUCACGAUGCAUUAUUGUUUCAUUGGUGAGUGUGGUGAUGACCGUUUAUUGUUCAUAGGGCUGCGACGGGUCGAUUCUGCUGGACAACAUGACAGGGAUGCAGUCCGAGAAGGAGUCACCGCCCAACAACGGCUCGGCGCGCGGGUACGAGGUGGUGGACGCCGUCAAGUGCGCGCUGGAGGACGCCUGCCCUGGCGUCGUCUCCUGCGCCGACAUCCUCGCUAUCGCCGCGGAGAUCUCCGUCGAGCUGGUACGUACCCGCGGCUGCCUAGAUACAACCUAGCUUCAUGGCAUACUAUACUACCAUUGUGAUCAUUGAUGGACGUAGUCACGUAGCGGCAGGUGCGCGGUAGCUUUCGAUGAGGGUUGAGGGGCAUGCAUGAAUCUUGAUUUGACCGUCAACAACAUGCUAUAACUUUAUUGACACCAUUUAAAAAUUAUAGGGAAAAAAUGAUUGCGUAGACAUGUCGGUGCAUUCAUGCAAACCGAGGGUUCGUUUGGCAGGGAUGUAGCUGAAACGGCUCCGACUGUGGCUUCGCUUUUCUGGUAGAGUUGAAACUAUUUUUGAAAAAUGUUUGGCAAAACGGCUUCUUAGGAAUGGAUGUGAGAAGUCAAAUGUCCUAUAUGCCCUUGGCUGUGUGGAUUGUUUGAAUGGAUAAUUUGAGUUUAUUUGAAAUUGAAAAAUAUUUGAAAAAGACUCCUCUCUAUUUUUUCUUCUUUUCCCUUACUACUUUUUUUCUUUCUUUCUUUAUUCUCCCUUAUCCGUUCUCUACUCUGGCUCCCAUCUAUCUGCUUUGGUCAGUCAUCAUCCUCUUUCUCCAUCUUCCCCGCAAGCUGCCGCCCCUCCGUCCCUCCAUCCCAGCCUCGCCAUGCUGCUUCCCAUGUUGCUGCUCCACCUCGCUGUGCCGCUUCCCCAUGCUGUGCUGCAUGCUCCUGCCAUUGCUCCCCUGCCCAAGCGCGCAGGGCCACGGCUAAGGCAUGAAUGGCAGGCGGCGUGCUCCCGCCAGCGGGUCGACGGUGGCGAGUGGCGUGCUCGCGCCGACGGGUCGGUUGUUGCGGGCGGCACGCCCGCUCUAGCCAUGGAAGGUGCAGCUGGCCUCAAUCAUCGGCAAGCCUAAAGCCUUCAACCUCUAGGUACAACACGAUUUUGGAUGCAAUUUCAGCUGUGAUUUGCACCAAGUUCAUGGGCAAUUUGGUAACAGCAGGUGUGGGGAGGGGGAGGAGUUGUGGGGAGCUAGUUUUUCUGCUCAAGAGAGCUAGUAUUGCGGGGCUUCUUUGGUGGAACUGUUUGGCUGGGCUUCACCGGAAGCUGGUGGUGAAGCCAACAAGGGAGCCCUGUCAAAGAGGGCCUAACUUCCCAUGUCCUUUCGUCAAUAUAUAUGUCCAUUACGUUUGGUUCGGUACUAAUGCGCGAAAUAAGUACCGGGUCCAAAUUAUCAGUCCUCGAAGGACUUUUAGUAUCGGGUCAAAACGUCACCUGGUACUAAAUGUCACCCUUUAGUACAUGUUGGUGUUAUGACUCGGUACUAAUACUCCUGGAUCAUUUUAGUACCGGACAAUAACACCAACCGGUACUAAAACCGGUACUAAAUGGUACUCCAUGCGAUACUGGUGUUAUUGCCUGGUACUAAAUAAUACUUCACGGGAUACUUCAAAAGAAAAGCAUAUCUAACUCCAUGACAUGUGUUAUGUAGGUAAAGUGGUUCGAAGGUUCGUGCGAGAUUUGAGGUCAUGAGUUCGAAUCCCACAGACAGCGCACACGCAUAUUACGGGGCCUCCUAGCUGUUCGUGAAUUUUUUCAUUAUUUUUUGGACACAAAUGUUGCAUUUAAUACUGGGUAUUUUGGUCGGUACUAAAUGACAUGACAUUUAGUACCGAAGAAGUGAUACUAGUGGCGCUGGUACUAAAGGGUUCCGACCGAUAAUAGCUGGAAGUCAAUCCUCCAGUAGUGUUCAAUGAUUUACACAUGGUAGUAUGGGAAGUAGCUAGCUACUGGCCACAGCUUACGUGUCUACAUGAGCAGACGAUUAAUGUACAGAAAAGCUGCUAGAAAUAUUGACACGUAAAUAUUGAUUUAUAGCUAAUCUGCUCGUCCAUAACAUGCAGUCGGGAGGACCCAGCUGGGGUGUACUCCUGGGAAGACUGGACGGCAGAACGUCAGACUUCAACGGCUCCCAGGACCUGCCGGCGCCCUUCGAAAAUCUCACCACGCUCCAGAGUAAGUUCCAAGCCGUCGGCCUUAACGACGUCGACCUCGUCGCCCUCUCAGGUACGCGCGUGAACAAUAGUUGGCAUAUAUUCUACGUCGAAUUUUCUAAAUGUAUAGAUAGAAAAUUCUAUGUACAUAGUAAAGUCUAUGUACCUAGAAAAACUCAGACAACCUACAUUUUAUACUACAUUUUGUAAAGGAGCAUCACACUAUUGCUCUGACCAACGUUAACGCCCCAUCUGUUUCUCUUGAAUGCAUGUGACCCACACAGGGGCUCACACGUUUGGCAGGGUACAAUGUGCAAACGUCGCCGACCAACCGGCCGACCGGCUCUACAACUUCAGCGGCACCAACAUGCCGGACCCGACCCUGGACUCGGCUUACCGAGCAUUCCUAUCGCAGAGGUGCCCGAGGAAUGGCGACAGUUCGGUCUUGAACGACCUCGAUCCAACGACGCCGGACACCUUCGACAACCACUACUACACCAACAUCGAAGUGAACCGGGGGUUCCUCACCUCCGAUCAGGAGCUCAAGUCCGCACCCGAAGCGCAGGGCACCACGGCACCGAUUGUCGAUCAGUUCGCGAGCAGCCAGGAUGCCUUCUUU
rnacentral:lncRNA from 1 species